rnacentral:rRNA from 9 species
AAGACUCUCGGCAACGGAUAUCUCGGCUCUUGCAUCGAUGAAGAACGUAGCGAAAUGCGAUACUUGGUGUGAAUUGCAGAAUCCCGUGAACCAUCGAGUCUUUGAACGCAAGUUGCGCCCGAAGCCAUUAGGCCGAGGGCACGCCUGCCUGGGUGUUGCACAU